rnacentral:rRNA from 1 species
CGGCAAUAGCUCAGAUUUGAAAUCUGGCGUCUUCGGCGUCCGAGUUGUAAUCUGUAGAGGAUGCCUUUGGGUAGCCACCGGUCUAAGUCCCCUGGAACGGGGCGUCACAGAGGGUGAGAAUCCCGUAUGUGACCGGAAGGGCACCCUCCACAAGGCUCCUUCGAC